UAACAACAAAAAAGGAAGGACUGGGGUAAGGGACGAGAAAAUAAAUUUUUUUAUCACUACCAAUGAAUUCAGUGCAAGCUUUUUCAUUCGAGUAUUCUUUAUAUAAACGAUAGUUCAGCAAAAACGAAACGGAGUCGCACAGAAUUUGGGUACAAAAACUCGGACAAUCGGUAAACUCUUAAGGUUGAAUCAGUUCAAAAUAGUUUCCGGAAUCCAUUAAGAUGGCUUCUUACGGAGAUUUGGUAACCUUUCAAAAGUCUUGGGUUUCUACCGAGAUAAUAAAAAGUUAGACUCGAGUAAAAGUCACUAAAGUUCUUAAGGAAGAUCGAAAGAAGACGAAAUUUCACUGUUUCGAACAGCGGCUGAGACAUUUGGCAACGUCGCGCAUACGCCAAGACCAUACAGAAUGGACCGGGUAGUCGAGUAAAGCAAAAGAGGUGGAAGACACUGUGUCGUUUGUAAGAGAAAGACGAAAUUCUCUAUUCGCAGAGUAAACGUUGACACGUUGAAAAGCAGCUAUGCCACAUAGUAUUCCAUACCCUGUGUGAAAUAACUCAACGGCAUCGUAAUACUGACUUCAAAGAAUCGUAACUGCAGUGUAAUGAAUAUUAUUUUUGUUGUGACCAAGAAAUAAAAU